rnacentral:rRNA from 1 species
AUUGAACGCUGGCGGCAUGCCUUACACAUGCAAGUCGAACGGUAACAGGUCUUCGGAUGCUGACGAGUGGCGAACGGGUGAGUAAUACAUCGGAACGUGCCUAGUAGUGGGGGAUAACUACUCGAAAGAGUGGCUAAUACCGCAUGAGAUCUACGGAUGAAAGCAGGGGAUCGCAAGACCUUGUGCUACUAGAGCGGCCGAUGGCAGAUUAGGAAGUUGGUGGGAUAAAAGCUUACCAAGCCGACGAUCUGUAGCUGGUCGGAGAGGACGAUCAGCCACACUGGGACUGGGCCACGGCCCAGACUCCUACGGGAGGCAGCAGUGGGGAAUGUUGGACAAGGGGCGCAAGCCUGAUCCAGCAAUGCCGCGUGCAGGAUGAAGGCCUUCGGGUUGUAAACUGCUUUUGUACGGAACGAAAAGCCCCGGGUUAAUACCCUGGGGUCAUGACGGUACCGUAAGAAUAAGCACCGGCUAACUACGUGCCAGCCGCCGCCGUAA